UACGUAGGGUGCAAGCGUUAAUCGGAAUUACUGGGCGUAAAGCGUGCGCAGGCGGUUGUGCAAGACAGGUGUGAAAUCCCCGAGCUCAACUUGGGAACUGCACUUGUGACUGCACGGCUAGAGUACGGUAGAGGGGAGUGGAAUUCCGCGUGUAGCAGUGAAAUGCGUAGAUAUGCGGAGGAACACCGAUGGCGAAGGCAGCUCCCUGGACCUGUACUGACGCUCAUGCACGAAAGCGUGGGGAGCAAACAGG
rnacentral:rRNA from 2 species